UUUGCAAUUUAUUAUUGGUGUCACAGACACAAUACAAUGCAGGUUAAUUUUGCAAAAUACCUGUCAUUACAGAAGAAUUCAAAUGAUUUUACAAGGAGACUGAAUAGAAAAAAAAAAAGAACAAAAAUUAAAGAUAUGUGGCUAUUGUUGGCUGUAUCAUCUCAAUCCCCUUUCUGUUUUAUAUAAUACAGUUUAAGAUUUUUGUGGAUUUACCCUCUGCUCUGGACAGUCAUUCUGAUGUCAGAUCCCAUACCGUGUGUUUGGUAAGAGCGAAUGUCAGAGCUUGAUGUGGAUGUGUUACUAGAACCUGAAAACUGUGCCUCAGCAAAAAGAUACUUCAGAAGGUUAAGAAGCAACUAAUCACUCCUGGCAAAGCCUGGAUAUGAAUUGGCAACCCAGAAGUAGCAACCUUAAUACCUGAAGUCACUUCCCUGCACUUUGCAGAUUACAUUUCUGAAAUGAAGUAAAACUCUAUGGUAAAUCAACAGA